GGGGUGCGCUCACCGCCAGCACUCUUGGGCGUCGGAGCUUCUGUGCUUCCGGGCACUCCUGACCGUGGAGGGAAGUCGGCGUCGAGGCACCACAGAGGCGAGGGUCUCCCUCUCAUCAUCAACAUGGAGGCGGCGCACAAGGCCGUCAGCGGCCACCUCAUGGCCGGACGCCUCUUGUCCCCUUUCCAAGCAAAUCUGUGCGCCAUCAUCGAUGAGCUUUGGGCCACGGCAUGGAAGCACCAAGGAGUGGUCACUGUACAAGAGGUGGACUCCGAUGACGGAAGGUUUAUCCUCAACCUUGCCAACGAGGGUGACCGGCGGUUCAUGCUAAAGGCACAGCCGUGGCACUAUAAGCGGGACGGUGUUGUCUUUGCUGAGUUCGACGACAAGGGCGACCCAGCCGAGGUUGACCUUUGGAGUAAUGGCCAUUUGGGCCCAGGUACGCGACCUCCCUUUUGA
rnacentral:rRNA from 1 species